rnacentral:pre_miRNA from 1 species
ACAAAUACAUUCGAACCAUGGGUCUACCGAGCAAUAUCACCCGCUCGGUGGAAGAUCUACCCUUUGUCGUAUUGU